rnacentral:rRNA from 1 species
CGGGUGAGUAACACGUGGGCAAUCUGCCCAAAAGUGGGGGAUAACACUUGGAAACAGGUGCUAAUACCGCAUCAACCGGCUGACCGCAUGGUCGGCCGGGCAAAGACGGCGUCAGCUGUCGCUUUUGGAUGAGCCCGCGGCGUAUUAACUAGUUGGUAAGGUAACGGCUUACCAAGGUGAUGAUACGUAGCCGAACUGAGAGGUUGAUCGGCCACAUUGGGACUGAGACACGGCCCAAACUCCUACGGGAGGCAGCAGUAGGGAAUCUUCCACAAUGGACGCAAGUCUGAUGGAGCAACGCCGCGUGUAUGAAGAAGGUCUUCGGAUCGUAAAAUACUGUUGUCAGAGAAGAACACGUGAUAGAGUAACUGCUAUGGCGCUGACGGUAUCUGACCAGCAAGUCACGGCUAACUACGUGCCAGCAGCCGCGGUAAUACGUAGGUGGCAAGCGUUGUCCGGAUUUAUUGGGCGUAAAGGGAACGCAGGCGGUCUUUUAAGUCUGAUGUGAAAGCCUUCGGCUUAACCGGAGAAGUGCAUUGGAAACUGGAAGACUUGAGUGCAGAAGAGGAGAGUGGAACUCCAUGUGUAGCGGUGAAAUGCGUAGAUAUAUGGAAGAACACCAGUGGCGAAAGCGGCUCUCUGGUCUGUAACUGACGCUGAGGUUC